rfam:Sarcophilus harrisii ctg7180002472109, whole genome shotgun sequence.
CUUAAGGCUAUUUUAAUAGCCACAUAAAAUUGCUCUAAAUUUUCCU